rnacentral:ncRNA from 1 species
UUUUCAAUGCUUUCAUCUUUAUGACCUUUACCUGUUAAAUGUAUAAUUUGAUAUUUUUUAGUUAAGUAAUCUAAAUUGUCACGAACAGCUUCGUUUAAUAUUUUAGAGCCUAAACUACCACCCAUAACCAAUAGAACAGGUAAUUUAUCAUUAAAUCCCGUUAUUUUGUAUCC